GAGGUUGUGCCCUUGAGGCGUGGCUUCCGGAGCUAACGCGUUAAGUAGACCGCCUGGGGAGUACGGCCGCAAGGUUAAAACUCAAAUGAAUUGACGGGGGCCCGCACAAGCGGUGGAGCAUGUGGUUUAAUUCGAUGCAACGCGAAGAACCUUACCUGGUCUUGACAUCCACAGAAGAAUCCAGAGAUGGAUUUGUGCCUUCGGGAACUGUGAGACAGGUGCUGCAUGGCUGUCGUCAGCUCGUGUUGUGAAAUGUUGGGUUAAGUCCCGCAACGAGCGCAACCCUUAUCCUUUGUUGCCAGCGGUUAGGCCGGGAACUCAAAGGAGACUGCCAGUGAUAAACUGGAGGAAGGUGGGGAUGACGUCAAGUCAUCAUGGCCCUUACGACCAGGGCUACACACGUGCUACAAUGGCGCAUACAAAGAGAAGCGACCUCGCGAGAGCAAGCGGACCUCAUAAAGUGCGUCGUAGUCCGGAUUGGAGUCUGCAACUCGACUCCAUGAAGUCGGAAUCGCUAGUAAUCGUGGAUCAGAAUGCCACGGUGAAUACGUUCCCGGGCCUUGUACACACCGCCCGUCACACCAUGGGAGUGGGUUGCAAAAGAAGUAGGUAGCUUAACCUUCGGGAGGGCGCUUACCACUUUGUGAUUCAUGACUGGGGUGAAGUCGUAACAAGGUAACCGUAGGGGAACCUGCGGUUGGAUCACCUCCUUACCUUAAAGAA
rnacentral:rRNA from 2 species